AGAUGUAAGGGUGAUCUGGUGGUGACAUCUGUGGUCCCAUUGAUCACCAGGGUUGCUUCAGCUGGUUGGGGUGGCUGGGGAGGGGAGGGUGGAGAUGACCCCUUCCUCCUUCUGUUCCAGGUGUGUCCCACCUUAAGCUGUCUAGGACCAUUCUUUAUUCAAGGAUAUGAGUACUGUGCUCCCUAGGAGAACCUCCAAAGAGCUGUCAAGGUCAGGAACAUGACACAGGGAGAUGUCUAUUGUCACCAUCCUGUUAAACAUUGUGCUGGCAAGUCCUAGCCAGAGCAAUUU
ensembl:misc_RNA 7SK 7SK RNA